rnacentral:rRNA from 1 species
AUUGAACGCUGGCGGCAGGCCUAACACAUGCAAGUCGAGCGGAGGAAGUGAGCUUGCUCCUGGAUUCAGCGGCGGACGGGUGAGUAAUGCCUAGGAAUCUGCCUGGUAGUGGGGCAUAACGUCCGGAAACGGGCGCUAAUACCGCAUACGUCCUGAGGUAUAAAGAGGGGGAUCUUCGGACCUCACUCUAUCAGAUGAACCUAGGUCGGAUUAGCUAGUUGGUGGGGUAAAGGCCUACCAAGGCGACGAUCCGUAACUGGUCUGAGAGGAUGAUCAGUCACACUGGAACUGAGAACCGGUCCAGCCUCCUACGGGAGGAAGCAGUGGGGAAUAUUGGACAAUGGGCGAAAGCCUGCUCCAGGCCUGCCGCGUGUGUGAAGAAGGUUUUCGGAUUGUAAAGCACUUUAAGUUGGGAGGAAGGGCAGUAAGUUAAUACCUUGCUGUUUUGACGUUACCAACAGAAUAAGCACCGGCUAACUUCGUG